GUUGCCUACCUGGCUAAGGAUUCAAAUGAGAUUACAUGUGACCCUAGGUGAGGUGUUUUUCUUUGUUCCAGUGGUUCUUCAUGUCCUAGAAAUCCAACAGCAUUGAAUCUGUUCCCCGCAUUUCCCUGAUGGACACUCUUGGUCUACACACAGGAACCGUUCAUUCAUCCUGCUCUCUGGAGAUGGCGCUUCUUAGAUUCUUAACAACAACAUGGCUUAAAGAUAAAGAAAAUAGAACUUUGAAAAUAUAAAAUAAUGGUAACAUUGACAGACAUCUGGAGGAGGAGGAUGUAAGAUAAAUGUUAAAACACUGUUCCUUGGGGCUGGGGUUGUGGCUCAGCAGUAGAGCAUUUGCCUAGCACGUGUGAGGCCCUGGGUUCAGUCCUCAGCACCAUAUAAAAAUAAAUAAAUAAAAUAAAGAUAUUGUGUCCAACCACAACU
rnacentral:lncRNA from 1 species